rnacentral:rRNA from 1 species
AUUGAACGCUGGCGGCAGGCUUAACACAUGCAAGUCGAGCGGGGAAAUAUAGCUUGCUAUAUGACCUAGCGGCGGACGGGUGAGUAAUGCUUAGGAAUCUGCCUAUUAGUGGGGGACAACAUUUCGAAAGGGAUGCUAAUACCGCAUACGCCCUACGGGGGAAAGCAGGGGAUCUUCGGACCUUGCGCUAAUAGAUGAGCCUAAGUCGGAUUAGCUAGUUGGUGGGGUAAAGGCCUACCAAGGCGACGAUCUGUAGCGGGUCUGAGAGGAUGAUCCGCCACACUGGGACUGAGACACGGCCCAGACUCCUACGGGGGGCAGCAGUGGGGAAUAUUGGACAAUGGGGGGAACCCUGAUCCAGCCAUGCCGCGUGUGUGAAGAAGGCCUUUUGGUUGUAAAGCACUUUAAGCGAGGAGGAGGCUCCUGUAGAUAAUACCUACAGUGAGUGGACGUUACUCGCAGAAUAAGCUCCGGCUAACUCUGUGCCAGCCGCCGCAGUAA